rnacentral:tRNA from 1 species
UCCCAAAUAGUCUAGGCGGUUAGGUUAGGAUACGUGGCUUUCACCCACGCGACCCGGGUUCGAGUCCCGGUUUGGNAA